rnacentral:tRNA from 1 species
GCAUCUGUUGCCUAGAGGCCGAAGGCAGCGGACUCAUAAUCCGCCUUCUUUAAAAGACGUCGCUGGUUCGAAUCCAGCCAGAUGCA